AUUGAACGCUGGCGGCAUGCCUUACACAUGCAAGUCGAACGGCUGCAUGGAGAGCUUGCUCUCUGAUGGCGAGUGGCGAACGGGUGAGUAAUGCAUCGGAACGUACCGUGUAAUGGGGGAUAACGUAGCGAAAGUUACGCUAAUACCGCAUACGACCUGAGGGUGAAAGCAGGGGAUCGCAAGACCUUGCGUUAUACGAGCGGCCGAUGUCAGAUUAGCUAGUUGGUGAGGUAAAGGCUCACCAAGGCGACGAUCUGUAGCGGGUCUGAGAGGAUGAUCCGCCACACUGGGACUGAGACACGGCCCAGACUCCUACGGGAGGCAGCAGUGGGGAAUUUUGGACAAUGGGGGCAACCCUGAUCCAGCCAUGCCGCGUGAGUGAAGAAGGCCUUCGGGUUGUAAAGCUCUUUCGGCCGGGAAGAAAUCGCGCAGGCUAAUACUCUGUGUGGAUGACGGUACCGGCAUAAGAAGCACCGGCUAACUACGUGCCAGCCGCCGCGGUAA
rnacentral:rRNA from 1 species